AGAGGGGUGCAAACGUUGCUCGGGAUUUACUGGGCGUAAAGCGCGUGUAGGCGGACUCGCAAGUCGGGUUGUGAAAUCCCUGGGGCUCAACCUAGGAACUGCAUCCGAAACUGCUUGUCUUGAGUAAUGGAGAGGGUGGCGGAAUUCCCGGUGUAGAGGUGAAAUUCGUAGAUAUCGGGAGGAACAUCAGUGGCGAAGGCGGCCACCUGGACAUUUACUGACGCUGAGACGCGAAAGCGUGGGGAGCAAACAGGAUUAGAUACCCUGGUAGUCCACGCCGUAAACGAUGAGAACUAGGUGCAGCGGAUAUUGACCUCUGCUGUGCCGUAGCUAACGCGUUAAGUUCUCCGCCUGGGGAGUACGGCCGCAAAGGCUA
rnacentral:rRNA from 1 species